UACGUAGGGACCGAGCGUUGUCCGGAUUCAUUGGGCGUAAAGAGCUCGUAGGCGGCUGUUCAAGUCGAACGUGAAAACUCGGAGCUCAACUCCGAGCCUGCGUUCGAUACUGGACGGCUAGAGUCUGGUAGGGGGAUCUGGAAUUCCUGGUGUAGCGGUGGAAUGCGUAGAGAUCCGGAGGAAGACCGGUGGCGAAGGCGGCCUGCUGGGCAGUUACUGACACUGAGGCGCGACAGCGUGGGGAGCAAACAGG
rnacentral:rRNA from 1 species